CGCCUGUUUAUCAAAAACAUCGCUAAAAGUAGUUGAUUUUUAGUAGUACCUGCCCAGUGCGUAUUAUCUUGUUAACGGCCGCCUUAGCGUGAGGGUGCUAAGGUAGCGAAAUUCCUUGCCUUUUAAUUGUAGGCCAGCAUGAAUGGUUUGACGAGGGCCUCACUGUCUCUUAGUUCUAUGUUGAAAUUGUAGUGUAGGUGAAGAUACCUUCAUAAAAAAGUAAGACAAAAAGACCCCGUGCAACUUUGAAAAUUAAGCUAGAUUAAAUGGCAAAAGAUUUUUAGGUGGGGCGCCAAAAGAGGAAACUAUAACCUCUGCUGUUUAAGCUAAUUCUUACUGGAGUUGACCUGACUUAAGUCGAUCAAAGGAGAAGUUACGCCGGGGAUAACAGGCCAAUUCUUUAGUAAAGCUCGUAUUAACUAAAGGGCUUGGCACCUCGAUGUUGAAUCAGGGAUUAUAGCUUCAAGGCGUAGAUGCUUUGAUUAGUAGGUCUGUUCGACCUUUGAAACCCUACGUGAUCUGAGUUCAGACCAGA
rnacentral:rRNA from 1 species